rnacentral:lncRNA from 1 species
GUGUUAAGGGAGGCAGAGAUGAGAGGCUGGAAGGAAAGGAGCUGCACCAGGAGCUAGUGGUCCUCAUCACGGUGUACCCUAAUGAGAUGUCACAUCUGGAAGGAAUGCCACUGGCAUGUAGCGGGCAGAGGCCAGGUACACCCCUAAACCACCUCUAACGCACCGAUCAGCUCCCCUGGAGCAAGCAGUUACUCAGUCCAAAAUGCCUGUGGUGCCACAGCCAAGAAGCCCUAAGUAGCCAGAGAGGGAGGGAGAUUUGGGUGUGGAGAGAUGAGCUCCAGACUCAAAUUCCUAGAUUUCAAUCCCAGCUGGGUCACUAAUUUACUGUUUGACCUUGGGUGAGUCAUUUCCUUUUCCCUGGUCUCAUUUCCAAAGUGCUAAAAGGAGAGAAGAGAAGAAAAGCUUUGAACUCUAAAGCUUCUGGUUGUGAGGAGAGCCGUCAGAAGGUAAAUGGCAGGGCCUUGUGUGGGGGGACUCCCCAAGAGGUGUGCAGACUGGGUGUCAAAGGUCCAGGGAGAAAGGACAGAAGGGCCCACUGGCUGGGCUGGACCCAGUGUGUCCGUGUCCGUGUGUGUGUGUGUGUGUGUGUGUGUGUGUGUGUGUGUGUGUGAUAGAAACAGAUCCCCAGGAUACCCUCCUCUCCUUCCAGCUCUGGGGACCCCAGGGCUGGAUAACCAACCAGGCUGUAUGUACCCUGAGGGCCUUGGCCUUCCAGGGUCUCUACAGGCCUUAUCCCAGCAUGGCAGUGAGUAGGGACAUGCUGCAGAGCAUGCAGCUUGAGAGGAGGCCAGGUGCCCAAUGCCAGAAAGAUUGCUCAGGAAGGCAGUUGGCAGCCGGCAGGCCAAGGUUUGUGCUGGAACAGGGGCAGAGGUACACCCAGCUACCGUCCUCCCGCCUCUCCCCAUUCUGCCAUUUUCAGGACCAGGACACCACUCAGCAGCUCCUCACUGGGGAGAGAGGAAGAGGAUGGGGAGGCUGUGGGCUGGGGAGCAAGGAGGAAAGAGAGGAGAACAGGAUGAGACUAGAGGAAGGAGGAACAAGAAAGACAAUGUGGGAGGCAGAGAGUUAGGGCUUGGCAGACCCAGUAGGCAGGAAAAGAAGAGAGACAGACAAUAAGUUCACAAGCUGGCCCAAACCCACCAGCCAAGUGGGUGCAGCCCUGCCAAGGCAGCUCCCUGGAAAGUGCCUGCAUUGACCCUCUGGUUGGGAACACAUAGGACACUGCCUCUGGCAGGUUCACAAUUCUCACAGAGACCCAUCUGUAUGCUUAGGAUCAGGCCCCAUUCUGGACCCCAGACAGACCCACUGUCUCAGCAGCAGCACAGAGGCACUGGCUACCAAAAUGUCUGCACAGUUGCAGGACCACAGCUCCCAUCACUGAUGGUCAGGGUUGUGCAGUGGGCUGAGGUCUGCUUGGCGCUGGGCACAAGGUGGGGCAUGUGCAGAGGGGUCUGUUUGGCUCUGUGCAUGAAAGGGGUCUGUGUGUUACAUGGAUGUAGCAUGCAGAUUGGUCUCUGUGGUUCUUGCAUGAGUGAGCAUGCAUGACUGAGGGGGCAGAGGUCCUGGGUGGUCUCUGCCUCCUUUCCCAAAUAGGACCAUCCAGGGACAGUUGGGAGUGAACCUCCCUGGCUACAGAGCACCCCAAGGAGCACAGGCCAGGAUGGGAGACAGCAGCCAAGGCACAUGCCCUAAGUCCAUUCUUCCCUGGCAUCCUGUAAGGAGCAUCCCUCAUCCUCAGAGAUUCUCAAGUCAUCAGACAAAGAAAGGUAGAGAGGGAGGAAAGCAAGAGGAAAGAUCUGAGCACCUCUGAGCUUUCAUUUCAAAAUGUGACCUCAUGCCCCAG